rnacentral:rRNA from 1 species
UACGUAGGCAGCGAGCGUUGUUCGGAAUUACUGGGCGUAAAGAGUGUGUAGGCGGUGUUCCCAGUCUGUUGUGAAAUCUCCCGGCUUAACUGGGAGGGUGCAGCGGAAACUAGAAUGCUAGAGGGUGGGAGAGGUAAGCGGGAAUUCCGUGGUGUAGCGGUGAAAUGCGUAGAUAUCAGGAGGAACACCUGUGGUGUAGACAGCUUACUGGACCACUUCUGACGCUGAGACACGAAAGCGUGGUAGCAAACAGG